rnacentral:misc_RNA from 1 species
UCAAUGGCUGAGGCUGGACUUUUAACGCGUUCACGAUGGCGCGCCGCGCUGCUGGCUGGCACUGCGCUGGCCGCGCUUGCCACUCCGUCCACAGCGCAGGCCGUUGACGGGAUGGAUGUCCUCACCGGGCUUGCCAGCGAUCCCUUCUCGAUCUGGGGUAUGAGCCGUAACGGGCAAUUCCUUGUUGGCGUUACUGACGGCGGCU